rnacentral:rRNA from 1 species
UUUGACCCUCGGGAUCAGGUAGGAGUUACCCGCUGAACUUAAGCAUAUCAAAA